GACGUAGGGGGCCAGCGUUGUUCGGAAUUACUGGGUGUAAAGGGUUCGUAGGCGGUGCGGCAAGUUGGGAGUGAAAUCUCUGGGCUUAACCCAGAGGCUGCUUCCAAAACUGCUGUGCUUGAGUGUGGGAGAGGCGCGUGGAAUUGCAGGUGUAGCGGUGAAAUGCGUAGAUAUCUGGAGGAACACCGGUGGCGAAGGCGGCGUUCUGGACUGCAACUGACACUGAAAAACGAAAGCCAGGGGAGCAAACGGG
rnacentral:rRNA from 1 species